rnacentral:rRNA from 1 species
AGCGAGACCUUCGGGUCUAGCGGCGGACGGGUUAGUAACGCGUGGGAACGUACCCUUUUCUAAGGAAUAGCCACUGGAAACGGUGAGUAAUGCCUUAUACGCCCUUCGGGGGAAAGAUUUAUCGGAGAAGGAUCGGCCCGCGUUAGAUUAGAUAGUUGGUGGGGUAAUGGCCCUACCAAGUCUACGAUCUAUAGCUGGUUUGAGAGGAUGAUCAGCAACACUGGGACUGAGACACGGCCCAGACUCCUACGGGAGGCAGCAGUGGGGAAUCUUAGACAAUGGGCGCAAGCCUGAUCUAGCCAUGCCGCGUGAGUGAUGAAGGCCUUAGGGUCGUAAAGCUCUUUCGCCUGUGAAGAUAAUGACUGUAGCAGGUAAAGAAACCCCGGCUAACUCCGUGCCAGCAGCCGCGGUAAUACGGAGGGGGUUAGCGUUGUUCGGAAUUACUGGGCGUAAAGCGCGCGUAGGCGGACAUUUAAGUCAGAGGUGAAAUCCCAGGGCUCAACCCUGGAACUGCCUUUGAUACUGGGUGUCUUGAGUUCGAGAGAGGUGAGUGGAAUUCCGAGUGUAGAGGUGAAAUUCGUAGAUAUUCGGAGGAACACCAGUGGCGAAGGCGGCUCACUGGCUCGAUACUGACGCUGAGGUGCGAAAGUGUGGGGAGCAAACAGGAUUAGAUACCCUGGUAGUCCACACCGUAAACGAUGAAUGC